rnacentral:rRNA from 1 species
GUGGGGAAUAUUGGGCAAUGGGCGCAAGCCUGACCCAGCAACGCCGCGUGAAGGAAGAAGGCUUUCGGGUUGUAAACUUCUUUUACCAGGGACGAAACAAAUGACGGUACCUGGUGAAUAAGCCACGGCUAACUACGUGCCAGCAGCCGCGGUAAUACGUAGGUGGCGAGCGUUAUCCGGAUUUAUUGGGUGUAAAGGGCGUGUAGGCGGGACAGCAAGUCAGAUGUGAAAACCAGAGGCUCAACCUCUGGCCUGCAUUUGAAACUGUUGUUCUUGAGUGUCGGAGAAGUAAUCGGAAUUCCGUAUGUAGCGGUGAAAUGCGUAGAUAUACGGAGGAACACCAGUGGCGAAGGCGGAUUACUGGACGAUAACUGACGCUGAGGCGCGAAAGCGUGGGGAGCAAACAGGAUUAGAAACCCCGGUAGUCC